CACGUAGAGGCAAACGUUAUCCGGAUUUACUGGGCGUAAAGCGCGUGUAGGUGGUUCUGUAAGUAGGGCGUGAAAGCUCCCGGCUCAACUGGGAGAGGCCGUUCUAAACUGCAGAGCUAGAGGAUGGUAGAGGGAGGUGGAAUUCCAGGUGUAGCGGUGGAAUGCGCAGAUAUCAGGAGGAACACCAGUGGCGAAGGCGGGUAACUGGACUGCAACUGACGCUGAGGCGCGAAAGUGUGGGGAGCAAACAGGAUUAGAUACCCGCGUA
rnacentral:rRNA from 1 species